GGGCGAUUGGCUCAGGGGGAGAGCGCUUCCCUGACACGGAAGAGGUCACAGGUUCAAAUCCUGUAUCGCCCACCA
rnacentral:tRNA from 1 species